rnacentral:rRNA from 1 species
AUGGGCGUGGAGCUGCAGCACGUGCCGCGCGGAAUGAACAAGGAGGCGGAUGACAUCGCCAAGAGAGCCUCCUGCAGGCUCCCUCAGGAGUCGGGGGUGUUUGAGGAGCGGCUCUUCAAGCCGUCUGCGGCACCCCCCACCACGACUCCAGCACCGCCUCCGGAGGGUUUGCCUCAGGCACCUGAGACGGGCGCCCCAGCCUGUGGCCACCCCUCGGGGGCCUGCCUGCUGCUUGCGCUCGAGCCUCGGGAGGGGUGCUGGACCGGAGAGCUCAAGACGUACCUGCUUCAAGAGACCCUGCCGGAGAAGGAGGAGAAAGCCGAGUGCAUGGCACGUCAAGCCACUGCGUACUACAUUCAGGAUGGUGAGUUAUAUUGCAAGAGGCCCAAUGACGUUUUGUUGCGGUGCAUCUCCAGGGAACAGGGGCUUGAGCUGCUAGCGGACAUACAUGGUGGGGACUGCGGGCAUCAUUCCUCAUCACGCACUCUGGUGGGCAAGGCGUUCCGCAGCGGCUUCUAUUAG